AAAAAUGAUAAGUUUAAUUUCGACUUAAACAUAGAAAUUUAUUAUUUCCAUUUUUU
rnacentral:tRNA from 1 species